AGUGGCUGUCUGAGUGACUGCCACUGGAGGUGUCCCGGGAGACCAAUCUAAACACUGCAAUUUAUUUGAAAAUACAUUGUUUGGAGCAAAAUGCCUGCAGGGAUUGACUAUACUCAUUAGAACAACUACAAUAAGCUGUAGUUGUUUUGGUGACUGUAGUGUCCCUUUAAGUGCAUACACACUAAACACUCUUCUAAGUGGGUUGUUCCUUGCAGCUUAGUACAAAAAAAGGAAAUAAAUAACAUAGUAUAAUAAC